AGAGUUUGAUCAUGGCUCAGAUUGAACGCUGGCGGCAGGCUUAACACAUGCAAGUCGAACGGUAACAUAAACUAGCUUGCUAGUUUGAUGACGAGUGGCGGACGGGUGAGUAAUGCUUGGGAAUAUGCCUUGGAGUGGGGGACAACAGUUGGAAACGACUGCUAAUACCGCAUAAUGUGCUUUUUGUAGAGAAAAGUACCAAAGGGGGGGCUCUUCGGACCUCUCGCUUCUUGAUUAGCCCAAGUGAGAUUAGCUAGUUGGUGAGGUAAUGGCUCACCAAGGCGACGAUCUCUAGCUGGUUUGAGAGGAUGAUCAGCCACUGGGACUGAGACACGGUCCAGACUCCUACGGGAGGCAGCAGUGGGGAAUAUUGCACAAUGGGGGAAACCCUGAUGCAGCCAUGCCGCGUGUAUGAAGAAGGCCUUCGGGUUGUAAAGUACUUUCAGUUGUGAGGAAGGCGUUAAAGUUAAUAGCUUUAGCGUUUGACGUUAGCAACAGAAGAAGCACCGGCUAACUCCGUGCCAGCAGCCGCGGUAAUACGGAGGGUGCGAGCGUUAAUCGGAAUUACUGGGCGUAAAGCGCAUGCAGGUGGUUUGUUAAGCAAGAUGUGAAAGCCCGGGGCUCAACCUCGGAACAGCAUUUUGAACUGGCAGACUAGAGUACUGUAGAGGGGGGUAGAAUUUCA
rnacentral:rRNA from 1 species